UACAGAGGGUGCAAGCGUUAAUCGGAAUUACUGGGCGUAAAGCGCGCGUAGGUGGUUUGUUAAGUUGGAUGUGAAAUCCCCGGGCUCAACCUGGGAACUGCAUUCAAAACUGACAAGCUAGAGUAUGGUAGAGGGUGGUGGAAUUUCCUGUGUAGCGGUGAAAUGCGUAGAUAUAGGAAGGAACACCAGUGGCGAAGGCGACCACCUGGACGUGA
rnacentral:rRNA from 1 species